UACAGAGGUCUCAAGCGUUGUUCGGAUUCAUUGGGCGUAAAGGGCGCGUAGGCUGCGGGGCAAGUCGGGUGUGAAAUCUCAGAGCUCAACUCUGAAACUGCACUCGAUACUGCUUUGCUUGAGGACUGGAGAGGAGAUUGGAAUUCACGGUGUAGCAGUGAAAUGCGUAGAUAUCGUGAGGAAGACCAGUGGCGAAGGCGGAUCUCUGGACAGUUCCUGACGCUGAGGCGCGAAGGCCAGGGGAGCAAACCGG
rnacentral:rRNA from 1 species